GCCGGUAUCCGGGGACGCGGUGGCUGCAGGGCUGGCCCUGGUCCCAGCCCGGCAACAACGAAUUGGGCACCGGCGGGGAGCAGGCAGGGCUUAGGGGACACGUCGACAGCACGUGUAGGGACUGCACACAAUAUGUGGAGUCAACAAAGGGAUUGAAGCGCGCGCAUCGCAUUUUUCCCCUUUCUCAGAUGGAAACGUUUCGGUAUUUGCCCACAGAUUUUCCGACUGAAAUGUGACUUUCAUAGUGCCGACGGGGUCGGCAGUGGGUACAGCACUGUCUCAGCCGCUGCUGCCCUGUGGGAGUGCACACAAUGCUGGUGCCAGCUCUCAUGAUACUCUCUCUAGUCCCGAGAUAGCUGGCAUUUUUGGGAAGCUGCGCUGCCUUUCGUUUAAAAUACACCUCCUGGUUGUGUGGAUGUGAUGAAUGUGACCUGAGAUUACCCUGAAGACUGCACAGUGAAACAACAGGCAUUUAGACCUAAAAAAACAUCAAGAUCCUGAGGCGUGCUGCGUGACUUUCAGCGGUGUGAAGCAGGACCUCAGCAGCAAUGUGCUUCCUUCUGUAGGGAAAGCCGCCUGGAUUCUCUUUGCAUACAGGGAGUGCUCGUCGUGGCAGGGCUGGCCUUGCUGUUGCCAUCUCUGGGUGGGCUGCUGCUGUGUUUCCAGCAAGGCAGUGGAGAGAAUUAAAAGCCUGAGUGAGCAGAGCAGCCAGGAAGCAUCAGCGGUGCCUCUGUCAACACUGCAGCCGAGGAAGGCAGGCAGCUCCUUAAUUAUUGAUUGCACUUAUAAAUAAAUGCUGGGACAGGGAAGAGAAGGUUA